CAGAGGGUGCAAACGUUGUUCGGAAUUACUGGGCGUAAAGCGCGUGUAGGCGGCACUACAAGUCGGAUGUGAAAUCCCGCGGCUUAACCGUGGAAGUGCACCCGAAACUGUAGAGCUAGAGUCCCGGAGAGGGUGGUGGAAUACUUGGUGUAGAGGUGAAAUUCGUAGAUAUCAAGUGGAACACCGGUGGCGAAGGCGGCCAUCUGGACGGUGACUGACGCUGAGACGCGAAAGCGUGGGUAGCAAACAGGAUUAGAUACCCUGGUAGUCCACGCCGUAAACGAUGAGUGCUAGUUGUCAGAGGCUUUGACCCUUCUGGUGACGAAGCUAACGCGUUAAGCACUCCGCCUGGGGAGUACGGUCGCAAGACUA
rnacentral:rRNA from 1 species